ACGGGAGGCAGCAGUGAGGAAUAUUGGUCAAUGGACGGAAGUCUGAACCAGCCAAGUCGCGUGAAGGAUGAAGGUAUUAUGUAUUGUAAACUUCUUUAGCAGUGGAGUAAUAAGGGGAUCGCGAUCCCUGAUGCAAGUACACUGAGAAUAAGGAUCGGCUAACUCCGUGCCAGCAGCCGCGGUAAUACGGAGGAUCCGAGCGUUAUCCGGAUUUAUUGGGUUUAAAGGGUGCGCAGGCGGGGUGCUAAGUCAGCGGUGAAAGGCGACGGCUCAACCGGAGCAGUGCCGUUGAUACUGGCGUCCUUGAAUGCGGUCGAGGCCGGCGGAAUGUGGCGUGUAGCGGUGAAAUGCAUAGAUAUGCCACAGAACCCCGAUAGCGAAGGCAGCUGGCCGGGCCUGCAUUGACGCUGAGGCACGAAAGCGUGGGGAUCGAACAGGAUUAGAUACCCUGGUA
rnacentral:rRNA from 1 species